CAAGACACACUUCUUCAUGGCUCUUUCUUCUCCUUUUUCAAUAAAACUGGUGGGUUAGUUUUGAAUUAUGAAGGGAAAAUCUUCCUACUGAAUGAAAUCAGAUGGGAAUAUUUUUGUUCUUGCAAAAAAAUCAACUGCUGCGUUAGACCUUUUAUGGUGCAGUGUUGCUUUCUCGGGUGAGUGGCUUCUAUGCUAUUCUUGUCAAGUGAGUAGUCUUUUGCAGGUUAACCUUUGCUUCGUUGUCUGUUCGACCUUGAACAAUAAUAAGGCUUCUUCUCACAAACCCUAGUUAAUAAAAUAUUCUUCUUAUUAAUCUUCUUAGCAUACAUGUUUUCUUGAUCAUUCAAUUUUCUUUACAUAUAAGGAUCUACUUACUAUAUCAACUUCAAAUUUAUCGAUCUAAUCUUCUUCUUCUCUGGGGAAAAAGCGUUUCCAUGAUUGUAUAUUUGCUCUAAGAAGUUUUUUUAAGACAAGUGCAUGCCUACAACUAUAUAAGUACAUGUAUAUGUAUGUAUUUUUGGUUACUUUAUGUACUUAUUUGUAGAGUAUGUGUUGUAGUUUAAGUUUGGUUAGGUGGGUAGAACAACUUGUGCUUUCUACAAGUACUUGUAAUUGCAAUUCUGCGUAUGACUUUCUGGUGCACUCAUAUAUUUUAGGAGAAAAUAAAUCGAGAGCUAGUUCAAGUUAAUUAUUAAAACUUUUGUUGCACUAGCACCUUCAGGAUCCAAUUAACUGACCUAAAAGGCUAAAACUUCUGUUUAUAUAUAAAAACCUUCAUUGACUCCAUGCAUGAAGGUUCAUAUAUAAGUGUUAGUUUAGAGUAAGCCAGCCUUCAUUAACGAAUCCAUGCAUAAAGAUUAAUUAUUUGGAAACUCGCCUUGAUUGUUUAACUCUAUCUGUUUAAUUCGAAGAUUUUCAUUUUCCUUGUAUGAAAUUGCUUGGUGUCCCGGUGUGAAGCAUAAAUUAAUCAUAAAGCUACCAAAAGCUGACACCUUCUUCAACAACUACAUGCAUAAUUUUUUUCCAAGUCUUUGAUUUUGUUUUCUUUCAUAAGGGACUCCAUAAGAGUGUGAUCAUCUGAAGCAAAGGUUAAAAAAAGUUUUUCUAGGAGGAAUUUAAGAGCAAAUUUUGAUAAUUUAUACUUUAUUUUUGAGUAUUCAAGCUUAAUUAAGAUGGAUUAAUAGGUAGAAUCUUUCUCUCUCUCUCUCGCUCUCCUUCUUCUCUUCUCUCUUCUGCUGAAACAAAAUGUAAAUUGACUAAUUACCUGGUAAGGUACAACUUUUGACAGAAAAUGAAUGCAGGGUCUUCUAAAGUUACAUCCUUGAGAAAUCCAGACUAGAUUCUCCCCAAAUAUUUAUAAAAAUUAGUCUUUACUAGAAUGUUAUAAGAUGAAUAUAAAGCCUCGGGAAUAACAAUUGCAUGUAAUUACGUCAAAAGACCUAGAAAUCUAACCCCAUUGGCUUAAACUACCUAGAUUAAUUAAAUUAUGUAGUAUAGUUUAAUUAGAAUGCAAUCACAAAAAAUAUUUGAAUAAAACUAUGUUUACAAACUAUGAAGUAAUUAUUUACUUUUUAUCUCAUAUCAAAACCAUUCUAGUAUAUAUUAUUACUUUAAUUUAUAUAAAUAAAUUUGUAUAAUUUGUUUGUUCUUCCAUUUCUAUAAAUUUUACUAAUCAAGAAAACUAAUCCCAUAUGCCUAUCUCAUCUAUCACCUAAGUCUAUUUUUUGUAAAAUUAAGUUCCCCUUUUAAUGUGUGUGUGUGUGUGUGUGUGUCUAUAUAUAUAUAUAUAUAUAUGUAUGUAUGAAUGUAUGUAUGUUUGUUCUUGAUGGUCUCUAGCAAUUUAGAUUCUGAAAUUUGUGUGGCUAACAUAUGUGCGCAUGUGUUUGUGUAAUAUGAAAGAAAGCAAAUUCAUUUAAUUUCAAUUAGGAGCUCUAGCUGUUAUGCUUUCAUGUGACGAGACAUUGACAAAAGAAGCGUUAAUAUUUGAGAGUGACACUGGCACAUAAGGUUAGAUCUGCACGUACGUUUACAAGUUUCUGCUCAGCUUUUUUUCAUGUAUAUUUGGUUGUUGGACCUAACUAUUUACGAGAAAAAAUAACUACAAGCUGUCUUGUUUUUGGGUCUUUUUUUUCUCCAUUUUCAGAGAAUCAUGAUUGUUUAAAGGACGUGAAAAAGUGACAUUUUUAUUGCAUUUAAGAACCUUGUCCAUCAUGGCAUUUGUCGGCACAAAAUAGGAUAAUAUUUAUAUAGAAUUUCAAUAUUUCUUAUAGUAUAAUCCAAGGUCGAAACGACGACGAAAGUGAGGUAUAAAGCAAGAGACUGUUCAUUUGACGAGGGUUUGCAUGGAACUCAACACCCUAUUUCUUGAAAUGUUGAAGCAGCAACCCUAGUGAGGUAAAAAUGAUGAUGGAAUUUUACCUCUUAUAAUCCCCUUUUAUUUUUUCACUUGCUUCUUUUCAAUGUAGUCUUUUUUUUUUUUUGGGUAAUUGAAAACCCUACCCAUAUUUGUUUGUUAGACAGGUAAAUCUAAAAUAUAGUAAUUAAAUUUACAACUAUUACACUCGAUAAAUCAAAGUUUUAUAAGUGUAGUAGAAAUUUGAACUUAGAUAUUCAUCUUAAAAGUUUUAAUACUUCAUCAGUUUUACUAAUCUUUAGAAUCUCUUUCUAAUGUAGUUGUAUUGCAGGUGCCCCAUAUAAAUGUUAAGCUUGAUUUUAA